UUGGUGGGGUGAUGGCCUACCAAGGCGACGACGGGUAGCCGGCCUGAGGGGGUGUCCGGCUACACUGGGACUGAGAUACGGCCCAGACUCCUACGGGAGGCAGCAGUGGGGAAUAUUGCACAAUGGGCGCAAGCCUGAUGCAGCGACGCCGCGUGAGGGAUGACGGCCUUCGGGUUGUAAACCUCUUUCAGUAUCGACGAAGCGCAAGUGACGGUAGGUACAGAAGAAGCACCGGCCAACUACGUGCCAGCAGCCGCGGUAAUACGUAGGGUGCGAGCGUUGUCCGGAAUUACUGGGCGUAAAGAGCUCGUAGGUGGUUUGUCGCGUUGUCCGUGAAAACUCGCAGCUUAACUGUGGGCGUGCGGGCGAUACGGGCAGACUGGAGUACUGCAGGGGAGACUGGAAUUCCUGGUGUAGCGGUGGAAUGCGCAGAUAUCAGGAGGAACACCGGUGGCGAAGGCGGGUCUCUGGGCAGUAACUGACGCUGAGGAGCGAAAGCGUGGGGAGCGAACAGGAUUAGAUACCCUGGUAGUCCACGCCGUAAACGGUGGGUACUAGGUGUGGGUUUCCUUCCUUGGGAUCCGUGCCGUAGCUAACGCAUUAAGUACCCCGCCUGGGGAGUACGG
rnacentral:rRNA from 1 species